UCACACACACACACACACACACGUCACACACACAGUCACACACACACACACUCACAGUCACACACACACACUCACACACACACACACAGUGUAAGUUGAGUAUGUUACAGUGGGGGGGGGGCACAGUGUGUGUGUGCGAUUGGAGCUUUUUUUAUUUUUUAUUUAACCUUUUAUUUCCUGCAGGUGAGAUCAGGGAUCUCGUUUCCAUGGCGACCUGGCAGCGACAGACAAACACAGCAGGUGAUCAGAAUGCUCCUCCUGGCUUUACUUGAUCAAUGAACAUUUGAACCCUGAGUGUGUGUGUGUGUGUGUGUGAGACGCACCGCCGUGUUCAACAAUGCAACUGGUCGAUGAGAGAGGUCCACCUGAGGUCCACCUGAGGUCCACCUGAGGUCCACCUGAGGUCUACCUGAGGUCCACCUGAGGUCCACCUGUGGUCCACCUGAGGUCCACCUGAGGUCCACCUGUCUCCCGCCGCCUGUACAGCUCCAUUCUUUGACUUUUAGACGUGAUGAUGUAAUUAAAGAGCUUUGAGAGUUUUUCUGUGAUCGGGUUGAAGUUGUCGGAGAUUAUUCGGUGGACGAUCUCGUGCAGAAAUGUUUCUUGUUAAACUCGUUAAAAGCUCCAAAUCUCUUAUUAGCAAAGUGAUGUACAAACACACUCAGGUAGUCGUUUAGAUUAAAAUAAAUAAUUUAUGGUU